AUGGAGGAAGGAAUCAAAGAUGGAUCAAAAAGAAAAAACAUCCUUAGUUCUUACAAAGGCUGCUCAAGAACACAACACUUUUCCUCCAAAUCAAAGAACUGUGUUGUUGGUCAUGUUUCUGAAAAUGUGUUUCAUCAAGGUGGUGGUGGUGCUAAUCUUGAUGCUGCUGCUGAUAGGUUUAAGAGAGCAGAGGAAUCACUUAGAACUGUCAUGUACUUGAGUUGUUGGGGUCCUAAUUAA